CCAGUGUUGAUCAGUGACUGUUCAGUCCUUUCAGAGACACUGACACACAGUACAAUGAUGAUGAUGUCACUGAUUCUACUGGGGACCCUGGGGCUCCUUGUUCAGGAAUCUUCUGCAGAUAUAAUCCUGACCCAGUCUCCUAAAUCUCGGUCUGUUAGUCCAGGAGAGACUGUGUCCAUCAGCUGUACAGCCAGUUCAGAUGUUAGUGAUUAUCUCAACUGGUACCUGCAAAAACCUGGAGAAGCUCCUAAACUUCUAGUUUAUGCUGCUACAGAGCUUGAGUCAGGGAUUCCAGAUCGUUUCAGUGGGAGUGGAUCUGGUUCUCAAUUCACUCUGACCAUCAGUGGAAUCCAGGGUGAAGAUGCAGGAGAUUAUUACUGUCAGCAGGGUGACAGCUAUCCGUUCACACAGUGUUAGAGCGCCUUACAAAAACCUCCCUCUGUUAAAGAGGAACUGUUCUGAAUCAAAACCUACAAAGCGAAUAAUCCUUUAUAGAAAGGAAUAAAACACAAUAAUGUAACUUUACAUUACAAAUAAACUUUUGCUACAUUUAUUUCAAUAAUUUAGCAAAUGACAGAACAAACAACCCCACUGGGACCACCACAGGAUUCAGACCUGGUUGAAUCAUCGUUGUUUCCUGGUCAUUUCAGUUAAAACAUAACACAUUAUGAAAGUCUGUGAGUAAAACUGAUUGGAUUUGCAAAGUCAACAUUGUUUUCAAUUAUUAUACAAUAUUUGUAAGUCACCAAUAAAUGUACAAGUUAUGCAGGAUCUU